AUUGAACGCUGGCGGCAGGCCUAACACAUGCAAGUCGAGCGGCAGCGGGAAAGUAGCUUGCUACUUUUGCCGGCGAGCGGCGGACGGGUGAGUAAUGCCUGGGAAAUUGGCCAGUCGAGGGGGAUAACGGUUGGAAACGACUGCUAAUACCGCAUACGCCCUACGGGGGAAAGCAGGGGACCUUCGGGCCUUGCGGGAUUGGAUAUGCCCAGGUGGGAUUAGCUAGUUGGUGGGGUAAUGGCUCACCAAGGCGACGAUCCCUAGCUGGUCUGAGGGGAGAACCAGCAACACUGGAACUGAGACACGGUCCAGAUUCCUACGGGAGGCAGCAGUGGGGAAUAUUGCACAAUGGGGGAAACCCUGAUGCAGCCAGCCGCGUGUGUGAAGAAGGCCUUCGGGUUGUAAAGCACUUUCAGCGAGGAGGAAAGGUUGAUGCCUAAUACGUAUCAACUGUGACGUUACUCGCAGAAGAAGCACCGGCUAACUCCGUGCCAGCAGCCGCAGUAAAAC
rnacentral:rRNA from 1 species